AACGAACGCUGGCGGCAGGCUUAACACAUGCAAGUCGAGCGCCCCGCAAGGGGAGCGGCAGACGGGUGAGUAACGCGUGGGAAUCUACCGUGCCCUACGGAAUAACGCAUGGAAACGUGUGCUAAUACCGUAUACGCCCUACGGGGGAAAGAUUUAUCGGGGUAUGAUGAGCCCGCGUUGGAUUAGCUAGUUGGUGGGGUAAAGGCCUACCAAGGCGACGAUCCAUAGCUGGUCUGAGAGGAUGAUCAGCCACAUUGGGACUGAGACACGGCCCAAACUCCUACGGGAGGCAGCAGUGGGGAAUAUUGGACAAUGGGCGCAAGCCUGAUCCAGCCAUGCCGCGUGAGUGAUGAGGGUCUUAGGAUUGUAAAGCUCUUUCACCGGUGAAGAUAAUGACGGUAACCGGAGAAGAAGCCCCGGCUAACUUCGUGCCAGCCGCCGCAGUAA
rnacentral:rRNA from 1 species